rnacentral:rRNA from 1 species
AAGAGACAGCAGCCGCCACGGUAAUACAGAGGGUGCGAGCGUUAAUCGGAUUUACUGGGCGUAAAGCGUGCGUAGGCGGCUUCUUAAGUCGGAUGUGAAAUCCCUGAGCUUAACUUAGGAAUUGCAUUCGAUACUGGGAAGCUAGAGUAUGGGAGAGGAUGGUAGAAUUCCAGGUGUAGCGGUGAAAUGCGUAGAGAUCUGGAGGAAUACCGAUGGCGAAGGCAGCCAUCUGGCCUAAUACUGACGCUGAGGUACGAAAGCAUGGGGAGCAAACAGGAUUAGAUACCCCAGUAGUCCCUGUCUCUUAUAC